rnacentral:rRNA from 1 species
GAUUAACGCUGGCGGCGUGCAUAACACAUGCAAGUCGAACGAGGAAAUUUAAAUGAUUUCUUCGGAAUGAACUUAAGUGGAUUAGUGGCCGACUGGUGAGGAACGCGUGAGUAACCUGCCUUACACAAGGGGAUAGCCGUUGGAGACGACGAAUAUUACCCUAUGAAACUAUCCCUUCGCUUGAUGCGCUAGUAAAAGUGUUAACGGUGUACGAUGGACUUGCGUCUGAUUAGCUAGUUGGUGAGAAAAAAGCCCACAAAGGCAACGAUCAGUCGCCGGCUUGAGAGAGUGUACGGCCAAAUUGGGAUGAGAACACGGCCCAGACUCCUACGGGAGGAGGCAGUGGGGAAUUUUGCACAAUGGGGGAAACCCUGACGCACCAACGCCGGGUGAUUUAGAAGGCCUUCGGGUUGUAAAAAUCUUUUGUAUAGGAAGAAAAUGACAGUACUAUAAGAAUAAGGUCCGGCUAAGUACGUG